CGCCGCCGUGGCCACCACUGAACUCUACGCUGCCGUUAGUCACUGAUGGAGGGUUGAAAUUGCUAUUAAUUCCUAUCCAAUCUGAAUCUUUUAUUUUGCUGCAACCAUGACCAAUGCGGUGAAGAUUAACAUUACCGCUACUGCUGUUUCGGUUGCUGCCAUUGCCGUUCUAAUUGCGUGAGAGUCGCAUCGGCUACCAUGAAUUAAAAGGAGAGGGAAUUAUCACGAUAAAUUUGUGCGAACUCAGUUAAUCGAGGGUUGAAAUUGCUAUUAAUUCCUAUCCAAUCUGAAUUUUUUAUUUUGCUGCAACCAUGACCAAUGCGGUGAAGAUUAACAUUACUGCUACCGCUGUUUCGGUUGCUGCCAUUGCCGUUCUAAUUGCGUGAGAGUCGUAUCUGCUGCCAUGAAUUAAAAGGAGAGGGAAUUAUCACGAUAAAUUUGUGCGAACUCAGUUAAUCGAGGUAGGAGUUUUUCUUAAAAUCUAAUUUAUAUCACAGAGUUGUGAUAAAUAGAUACUAAAGUGAGAGAACAUAUGCCUGUGAUUAUAAUUGUCUUUUAAAUGUGGUUGUUUGCUGG